UACAGAGGUCUCAAGCGUUGUUCGGAUUCAUUGGGCGUAAAGGGUGCGUAGGUGGCGCCGUAAGUCAGGUGUGAAAUUUCGGAGCUUAACUCCGAAACUGCAUUUGAUACUGCGGUGCUUGAGGACUGGAGAGGAGACUGGAAUUCACGGUGUAGCAGUGAAAUGCGUAGAGAUCGUGAGGAAGACCAGUGGCGAAGGCGGGUCUCUGGGGUAUUUCUGACGCUGAGGCACGAAAGCCAGGGGAGCGAACGGG
rnacentral:rRNA from 1 species